AUCAACUGUAGUGCCAGAAAUCAAACUAAUUCGUUCUCGUAGAAGUUCAAUCAAAUCAAAUGGUAAUUGUGUGGUGAACUAUCAUCAUACUUACUACUUAAUUUUAUCAUCAACUAUCCAUCAUACUUUUCUCAUGCUCGUGAAGAGUAGCUCGUCAAACCAAUAUUGCAAAGGAUGCUGGCAUGCAACCUUCUUGCCAUUUCGACUGAGCCUUUCACGUAGUGUGAUUUUGAGUUGAAGAGUGAGCCCGCAACUGAAAUUGCAAAGAAUGCUGGCCAAGAAAGAUCAUUCUUCGCAAGCUCAUCAUUGUAUGUAAGUUUGAAUGUGAUGGAAAGUGCAGCAUAUGCCUCACAACUGUGUUAAAAACGAUUGGAAACCACAAAUUCAGCAGUCUUCUCACUAUUUCUACCUGGCCAGUCACCACACUUUGACGUGAACCUCAACACCACUAUGCCUCAGACUACCAAGCCUGCCUCAUCAUCCGGAAAAUUGCUGGCCCUGCAAAUUCCCUAGUCUACGAACAGCAAGCCUAAGUAAAAAAAGGCCCUUCUUCACCUCGCCCGUCAUCGUUUCGCCGUCGCCCUGUCAUCGCUUCGCCCAUCGUCCCGUCAUCGCUUCGCCCGUCAUCGCUUCGCCCGUCACUCCGUCAUCGCUUCGCCCGUCUUCCCGUCAUCGCUUCGCCCGUCGUCCCGUCAUCGCUUCGCCUGUCAUCGCUUCGCCCGUCGCCUAGUGGUCGCCUCGUCUUCGCCUCGUGGUAUCGUUGUUAUUUUAUGUAAUGUGUAGUGUGUUAAUUAACAGGUUGGCUGCCACGCCUCUUUUUGUUCCCCUUUUUUUUUGAGCUUGAUAGGGACGGGCCGCGCUGCUCUACUCCACGGUCUGUGUGCCGUGGGGUGGAGCUGUCGCCACUGCCCAAAAUUCGCCGUAAGGCAAAAGGCAACGCACCACAGGGCCUCCCUUUUCUCGAUGUGUGGUGGAGACCAGGGGUGUGCGUUCCCACAACGGUCUCCACCAUUGCAUCAGCCCGGACCAUUGUGUCCCCCUCUGUCGCCAUCCAUCAGAUGGCGAUGUAGUUACUGUAGUGGUAGGGGCGUGGCAGCCAACCUGUUAGGUGUAUUAUGUAUUGUAUAUAUGUUGUAUAUUGUA